CAAAAAAUAGUUUAAAAAAAACAUUUUAUUUACAUUAAAAAGAUAAUAUAAUUUUUUUUGA
rnacentral:tRNA from 1 species